ACCCAGACUCCUACGGGAGGCAGCAGUGAGGAAUAUUGGUCAAUGGGCGGGAGCCUGAACCAGCCAAGCCGCGUGAGGGAAGAAGGUACAGCGUAUCGUAAACCUCUUUUGUCAGGGAACAAAGGCGGGGACUAGUCCCCGGAUGAGGGUACCUGAAGAAAAAGCAUCGGCUAACUCCGUGCCAGCAGCCGCGGUAAUACGGAGGAUGCGAGCGUUAUCCGGAUUUACUGGGUGUAAAGGGAGCGUAGACGGCUGUGCAAGUCUGAAGUGAAAGCCCGUGGCUCAACCGCGGAACUGCUUUGGAAACUGUAUAGCUUGAGUACUGGAGAGGCAGGCGGAAUUCCUAGUGUAGCGGUGAAAUGCGUAGAUAUUAGGAGGAACACCAGUGGCGAAGGCGGCCUGCUGGACAGAAACUGACGUUGAGGCUCGAAAGCGUGGGGAGCAAACAGGAUUAGAUACCCUAGUA
rnacentral:rRNA from 1 species